UACAGGGGGUGCAAACGUUGCUCGGAAUCAUUGGGCGUAAAGCGCACGUAGGCGGUUCGUUAUGUCGGAUGUGAAAGCCCUUGGCUUAACCGAGGAAGUGCAUCCGAAACUGGCGAGCUAGAGUACGAAAGAGGAUCGCGGAAUUCCCGAUGUAGAGGUGAAAUUCGUAGAAAUCGGGAGGAACACCGGUGGCGAAGGCGGCGAUCUGGGUCGAUACUGACGCUGAGGUGCGAAAGCGUGGGGAGCAAACAGG
rnacentral:rRNA from 1 species